rnacentral:misc_RNA from 1 species
GUCUAAACUAUGGAUGAGGUGAUUUUUGGAUGAAAUUUUUAGCUACAAGCGUAAGAUUUCGGAAAUGCUUUGAAAAAGGAAAAACCAAAUGCAAAAAAAAAUUGAAGAAGAUAUGGUCUUCAUUAUGGUUUUAUUUUCCUAUUGAAAAGUUCUGUAAAUGUUCUUUCAAAGAUUUUUGGUAAAUAACUUUGAAUUAUUAAUAAGAUUUACUUGCCUGCAUAU